UGAGGAAUAUUGGUCAAUGGGCGGAAGCCUGAACCAGCCAAGUAGCGUGAAGGAUGACUGCCCUAUGGGUUGUAAACUUCUUUUAUAAGGGAAUAAAUGUGGGUACGCGUACCCGUUUGCAUGUACCUUAUGAAUAAGGAUCGGCUAACUCCGUGCCAGCAGCCGCGGUAAUACGGAGGAUCCGAGCGUUAUCCGGAUUUAUUGGGUUUAAAGGGAGCGUAGGCGGGCGCUUAAGUCAGCUGUGAAAGUUUGGGGCUCAACCUUAAAAUUGCAGUUGAUACUGGGUGCCUUGAGUGCAGUAUAGGCAGGCGGAAUUCGUGGUGUAGCGGUGAAAUGCUUAGAUAUCACGAAGAACUCCUAUUGCGAAGGCAGCUUGCUGGAGUGUAACUGACGCUGAUGCUCGAAAGUGUGGGUAUCAAACAGG
rnacentral:rRNA from 1 species